GCCUUGGUGGCGCAGCCGGGUGCGCGGAUGACUAUCAAUCCUGGGGUCUCUGGUUCGACCCCCACCAAGGCA